UUUUAACAGCCGCGGUAAUUUGACCGUGCAAAGGUAGCAUAAUCAUUUGCUUCGUAAUUGGGGGCUAGAAUGAAUGGAAUUACAAAAUGUAAGCUUUAUUUAAAAGAUGGUAAGAAUUUGCUUUUUUAGUGAAGAAGCUAAAAUUUACUUAAAAGACAAGAAGACCCUUUUGAGCUUUAUUACUUUUUUAAAUUUUUUUUAUUAGGUAAUUUGGUUGGGGCGACCGAGGAAGAGAAAAAUCUUCCUUUUAAAAAAAUUUUGAUCCAUGGUUUGUGAUUAAUAGAUUAAGUUACCAAAGGGAUAACAGCGUUAUUUUUUUUGAGAGUUCUUAUUAAAAAAAAAGAUUGCGACCUCGAUGUUGACUUAUAAUUUCCUUUUGGUGUAGCCGCUAAUAGGGUGGGUCUGUUCGACCUUUAAAAUUUUACGUGAGUUGAGUUCAGACCGGCGUGA
rnacentral:rRNA from 1 species